rnacentral:misc_RNA from 1 species
ACCUAAAUACUUGGAAUGGAUUUUGCCCGAAUGAACUGCUUAAGAAUAGCUUUAUCUUCAUCUACGCGCCUCUUCUCUUGUGGAUCUUUGGGUUUGACCUUCCUCUUCUCUUCUAAAAUCCAUUUGUACAGUUCACGUUGUUGAUUCUCAGGGAUUGGUUCAUGCAGCUUCACAGUUUCUGCAAUUGUAGGCAACGAAAUGGGCUUCUCAGGAAGUGGAGAGGCUGUGGGAGGGGUGGAGACAUUGGUUGCUACUUCUUCCUCUAGGUCUGUAUCUUUUUUCUUUGUUCUCAUGAAUAAGUAAGCUCCAACUGUGAGAUUGACAGUCAAGAGAAGGGGCCACAAGAACUUGUAACGCCUAGAAAAGGACUCCUUUGGAGGCUGAGGAGGUGGAGGAUGAGGAGCCGUAGACUGAGACGCCAUUCUGUAAGACGCUGCAGCAUCUAAGGCUGAUGAGAAUGGUGUUGGAGUGGCUUUAGUAUUUGUUGGUGUGGGGGAAGAGAAAUCUUUUGCCUUUUGUUGCUCCCGAAAUUGCUUGAGCUGCGCUGGUAUUACAAGAAAGGAAUUCGAGUCAACAGCCAAACACCACCAACAACCAAUGAUCGAAGAGAAGAAAACGAAUAGGGAAAAGUU